CCAAUCUCUCAUUCUCCAAAAACAUCCCUUCAAAGACCUCUCAACAAACCCUAACUCGCCGCCCCUAAAUACCAUCACUUUUCGCUGGCGGAGCCACCACCAACUACCACCAAAAUCACACCCUAUACCCCCUCACUUCCCUCAUCUCAAAUUCACAUUCAGUUUCUUUCAAAUCCCCCUAAAGCCUCUCGAAUUUUAAAUCUAAGGUUCGAGUUCUAGGGGGUGGAAGUCAGAUUCCUCCAAGCAAGGUCACCCCUCCAAGUUGUCCGAUUUUUCUAAGCCUGUUUUGUCUCGAUAUGAUGUUCUUCGUCCGUUCUCGACAAGAAACUGAUGAUGUAUACCAUUUCAUGAUUGAAAUAUAGUUACCCGUUGUUUCAAGUCCAGACUAGUAAGUUUUUCUUUUUUUUUUCUUCACAUUUUUAUUCAUCCUUUUGCUUCGUCUGGUUCUCCUGUUCGGUCUCCGUAUUUUGAAUUCAUUCCCUUCCCCCCAUUGAGGAAGCUUUUUUGGUAUGUGUGUGUGUGCGCGUUUCUUUUCCAUUUUUCCAAUUUUUCUUUCUCUUAGUUAUUAUUUUCAUAUCUCUAUGUGAUUUUUAUCUUAGGCCAUGAAAUUUUCCAAU
rnacentral:lncRNA from 1 species